AGAAUGGGCCUGAGACUUAAUUAUCCUCAUCCCUCAGAAGUGAUCCCUCCCCAUCAGGCUGGCGACAUGGAGGAAUCAGUGAAGAGAGGACUCUGGUUUCCAAGACUGCCAGCUCAGCUCCUUUCACCAGCACUGAUAUAUGUUGGCUUUGUGCAGCGAGUGCCUGUGCCGCAGUAUAAAUCAAGUUAAUUCCUAAGCACAGCUGUGUCUGAGGAUGCGGUAUAUUCACGUCGGGUGUCUUGUGGCAAUGACUUUCUGGUGGGUGGCAAACAGGAUGCACGCUAAGGAAGGUAAGACUCUGUUCAGCUGUGCUGAGCACCAAAGCACCGAGGGUUAACUUCCAGGGGCUCCUUCAGUCU
rnacentral:lncRNA from 1 species